AUAACGAGCGCAACCCUUAUGCUUUAGUUGCUUAACUUUGUUUUACAAGUGCACUCUAGGCAGACUGCCGCAGAUAAUGCGGAGAAGGUGGGGAUGACGUCAAAUCAUCAUGCCCCUUACGUCCCGGGCUACACACGUGCUACAAUGGCCUGUACAGAGGGUAGCGAAAGAGCAAUCUCGAGCCAAUCCCUUAAAGCAGGUCUCAGUUCGGAUUGGAGGCUGCAACUCGCCUCCAUGAAGUCGGAAUCGCUAGUAAUCGCGGAUCAGCACGCCGCGGUGAAUACGUUCCCGGGCCUU
rnacentral:rRNA from 1 species